rnacentral:rRNA from 1 species
UACGUAGGGACCGAGCGUUGUCCGGAAUCAUUGGGCGUAAAGAGCGUGUAGACGGCUAUUUAAGUCCUGCGUGAAAUCCUGCGGCUCAACCGCAGACGGUCGUGGGAAACUGGAUGGCUAGAGUUCGGGAGAGGAGCGUGGAAUUCCCAGUGUAGAGGUGAAAUUCGUAGAUAUUGGGAAGAACACCGGUGGCGAAGGCGGCGCUCUGGACCGAGACUGACGCUGAGGCGCGAAAGCGUGGGGAGCAAACAGG